rnacentral:lncRNA from 1 species
CAAUAAUCUGCUUUUGGAGGUGGUCAGAUCACAUAAUCAGGGCUGAGCUCAAGAUGCAGAACAGGCUUGUGUGGGAGUGCUGGGCUAGCCUCCUGCUUUCCAGUUGCUGUGACGGUGGUAGAGAUGAGCAAGCUUUGUUCACCUCACUUUGCUACCUCUGGGCUCAGAGCGCUACUGCAACUGACCUUCAUCUGGAGAUGCACGUUGCGGAGACAGAACCAGAGAGCCUCCUUUCCCAUGUGGCUCUCUGGGCAGCUCAGCAGGUCCAGCUCAGGGCUGGAAUAGCCCUGUCCACUCCUCACCUCAUGUCCUCCCAUCUGGGAAGCCACCUUGCCUGUCCUGUCCUGGUUCCUCUGUCUCCUCCGAGGCUUUGCUGA